AGCGAACAGACGAGGAGCUUGCUCCUCUGACGUUAGCGGCGGACGGGUGAGUAACACGUGGAUAACCUACCUAUAAGACUGGGAUAACUUCGGGAAACCGGAGCUAAUACCGGAUAAUAUAUUGAACCGCAUGGUUCAAUAGUGAAAGACGGUUUUGCUGUCACUUAUAGAUGGAUCCGCGCCGCAUUAGCUAGUUGGUAAGGUAACGGCUUACCAAGGCAACGAUGCGUAGCCGACCUGAGAGGGUGAUCGGCCACACUGGAACUGAGACACGGUCCAGACUCCUACGGGAGGCAGCAGUAGGGAAUCUUCCGCAAUGGGCGAAAGCCUGACGGAGCAACGCCGCGUGAGUGAUGAAGGUCUUCGGAUCGUAAAACUCUGUUAUUAGGGAAGAACAAAUGUGUAAGUAACUAUGCACGUCUUGACGGUACCUAAUCAGAAAGCCACGGCUAACUACGUGCCAGCAGCCGCGGUAAUACGUAGGUGGCAAGCGUUAUCCGGAAUUAUUGGGCGUAAAGCGCGCGUAGGCGGUUUUUUAAGUCUGAUGUGAAAGCCCACGGCUCAACCGUGGAGGGUCAUUGGAAACUGGAAAACUUGAGUGCAGAAGAGGAAAGUGGAAUUCCAUGUGUAGCGGUGAAAUGCGCAGAGAUAUGGAGGAACACCAGUGGCGAAGGCGAC
rnacentral:rRNA from 1 species